rnacentral:rRNA from 1 species
GUCUGGUGAUGAUGGCGAAGAGGUCACACCCGUUCCCAUACCGAACACGGAAGUUAAGCUCUUCAGCGCCGAUGGUAGUUGGGGGUUUCCCCCUGUGAGAGUAGGACGCCGCCAAGC